AUUGAACGCUGGCGGCAUGCUUUACACAUGCAAGUCGAACGGCAGCGCGGGCUUCUGCCUGGCGGCGCGUGGCGAACGGGUGAGUAAUGCAUCGGAACGUGCCCAGUCGUUGGGGAUAGCCCGGCGAAAGCCGGAUUAAUACCGCAUACGACCUGAGGUUGAAAGCGGGGGACCGAAAGGCCUCGCGCUAUUGGCGCGGCCGGAGUCGGAUUAGCUAGUUGGUGGGGUAAAGGCUUACCAAGGCGACGAUCCGUAGCUGAUCUGAGAGGACGACCGGCCACACUGGAACUGAGACACGGCCCAGACUCCUACGGGAGGCAGCAGUAGGGAAUCUUGAGCAAUGGGCGGAAGCCUGAAGGAGCAAUGCCGCGUGAGUGAAGAAGGUCUUCGGAUAGUAAAACGCUGUUAUUAGGGAAGAACAAAUGUGGAAGUAACUCUGCACGUCUUGACGGUACCUAAUCAGAAAGCAACGGCUAACUACGUG
rnacentral:rRNA from 1 species